rnacentral:rRNA from 1 species
GAACGCUGGCGGCAUGCCUUACACAUGCAAGUCGAACGGUAACAGGUCUUCGGAUGCUGACGAGUGGCGAACGGGUGAGUAAUACAUCGGAACGUGCCCAGACGUGGGGGAUAUCGAGGCGAAAGCUCUGCUAAUACCGCAUACGAUUUAAGGAUGAAAGCAGGGGACCGCAAGGCCUUGUGCUUUUGGAGCGGCCGAUGGCAGAUUAGGUAGUUGGUGGGAUAAAAGCUUACCAAGCCGACGAUCAGUAGCUGGUCUGAGAGGACGACCAGCCACACUGGAACUGAGACACGGCCCAGACUCCUACGGGAGGCAGCAGUGGGGAAUUUUGGACAAUGGGCGAAAGCCUGAUCCAGCAAUGCCGCGUGGAGGAUGAAGGCCUUCGGGUUGUAAACUGCUUUUGUACGGAACGAAAAGGCUCUGGCUAAUACCUGGGGCACAUGACGGUACCGUAAGAAUAAGCACCGGCUAACUACGUG